rnacentral:rRNA from 1 species
CGCGGUAUAGUGACCGUGCGAAGGUAGCAUAAUCAUUAGUCUUUUAAUUGAAGGCUUGUAUGAAUGGUUGGACGAAAAGUGAUCUGUCUCUGUUGAAAUAAUUGAAUUUAACUUUUGAGUGAGAAGGCUUAAAUGAUCUAGAGGGACGAUAAGACCCUAUAAAGUUUAACAUUAUAAUAAUAAAAAGUUAAUUGGAAUUGUAAGAUUUAUUAUUGUGAAUAGUGUUUUGUUGGGGCGACAAGAAUAUAAAUAAUUUAACUGUUCUUUUUUGUAUCAAAGAUAUUUGAGUUAAUGAUCUUUUUAAGAGUAUUAGAGUAAAUUACUUUAGGGAUAACACCGUAAUUUUUUUUGAGAGUUCUUAUCGACAAAAGAGUUUGCGACCUCGAUGUUGAAUUAAAGAUUCUUUAUAAUGCAGAAGUUAUAUAAG